GGCAGUGUAUUUAUACAAAUUUAAUAAUACCUCCUACAUACUGACCCUUGUUUCUCUUUUUCUUAAGAGGGGGAAGCUGUGCUGUUCUCUUCCCUGCUCGCUCACAGACCUGUUUGCCCGAGAGCCCUGCUGUGACCUCUGGCCCGUCCAGAAUGACCCCUCUGGCCCCCAGAGCAGCCUCAGGACCUUGCAGCCCUGCCAGGAAUUGGGCUGUGGAUGGCGAAGGCUCAGCUGGAACAUGGGUCCCUGCAAAGAGCCUGGACAGCCCAAGAAGGGACAAUUUCCUUCAGCAGGGAGAUUCAAGAGGAUUCCCAGUCCAGAAGGAAAAAUGUCCCUGCUCCCUGCAUCGCCCACUUCUCUCCUGUGCAGGGAGCAGCUCCUUCUCUGUCCUGUGUGGCAGCAGCACUCCCAUGCCCACGGCUCUCCUGCUUCCCACAUCCCACCUUUCAGCAGCCAGCAAGGCCAGAGAUCAGAAGCAGGAAGAGCUGUGGAGAAAAUCGCCCCAAAAUAAGUUAGAGCAACUCAAGAAGAGGAUCCAGGAGCAGAAGAGAAAGCAGCAAGCAGCAGCUCAAGAGCAGGAGCGCCUGAUUUUUGCUAAAGAGCCCCUGCCAAAGAGAGCCCUGAAAAGAAAGGUGUGCAGAGUGGCCUCUGCUCCUCCUGCUCCAGCUUACAGAGACCAAAGAGAGAGAAGCUCAGCACAGAGAAUCCAAACAGAACACCAGAGGCAGCUUUCAUCCACAUCCUGUGUUCUGGAGAAAGCAGUGGCAGGGAAAGGUGUGAAUCUACCUGGUGUUUCUGCAUGGAGAGAAGGUCAGAAGUUGGCUAGAAGGCUGCUGGGUCCACCCCCUCCAUUUCCACAUUUGAGGAGCAGACCUGGAGAGCAGAGCACAGCAAAGACCUUUGGUAUAGCUGCCCCUCUACAGCACUGGUUGUUUUGGCACACAAACUAAAACAGGGGUUUUUAAA
rnacentral:lncRNA from 13 species